AAACUAAAGUCAUGAUUAGUUAUAUAUGCCAACUGCAUAUAAUCGAACCUUAAACUAGCCUAUUAAAAACUAUUACGUCUCUUAUUAAACUCCAUCAACAUUAUUCAUAGAUUUUAUAUGCGUAUAGCAUAUAACCGAGCUUGAGUUCUGCUUGAUAAACAAUAUUGUUCUCGCAUAUACUUUUUGUGAGCUCCACAUAUAGAUUAUAUAUGUGAGAUACUAUAGAUUUUUGCAGAGUGCUUUUUUACAUGAAAUUUAUAUGCAAGGUUCACACCAUUUAUGAAUGUGUGCUCGAAUGUGUGCAUAUUUGUUCGCGUGUGUGUCGGUGUGUGAGCCAGCAGCAGCAAUAGCCUUAGCAGCAUGCUGCAGCAGCCAUUUAGAAAGUUUUUCAUUUUCGUUGUGCGAGCAAGUGAGAACAAGUUUUUGUGAUUUAAAGAUUUCGCCAGCUGUGCUCAAACUGUGGGCUCCACAUUCCAUUCCGCGCUCGAGAUGGCAGCCGGUUCCGGCACGAAGGUGGUCCAAAUGACGAGAUCCGGCUGUACCCAACGAUCAGAGCCGUGUCCUGUCCGGAGGUGCACCGGGUUUGCUAAGUCAAGGGCACUUGCGUGGCCGUGGCCAAACAUCUCGGGGAUUUCGAGCAAGAAAUGGAGGUGGUCGCUAACGGGACGCUGGUUCCGGGUCUGCACAUCAUCGAUAGGCCGAAGGAGGUGAACACCUUUGGGUGAACCGCUUCGUCGGAAUAGUUCCGAACCAGAUCGUGAAAGCGUCGAUCCGAAGCUGGACAAAAACAACUUCCGGUGUAUCCGCCGCUGCUGGUCAACUUUGAUGCUUCCGACCGCCGUUAGCGCUGUCCUGCCUUCUCAUCGUAGCCUUUUACAUGCGCCUGACCGCUCUAAUCGUAAUAAAGUCACACCUACACACCACACCACUGACUGCUACGCUCUAACUCAUAAAAUAAACUAAUGUUUGAAUCAAAUUUAUCAAAAACUUUUUUUUAUUAUCAGAAAAGAAAAUUUAAACAGUAAUUUAACAUUAGACGUAGUGCAUAAUAAUAAAAAAGCAUAACUAAUAAAAAUGAACUGAAAAUUCAUUAAAAAUUAUGAAUGCUACACAUGCAUGUUAUAUGUUGGCAAAUCAUUAAACCCCUAAGCAUUGCAUAUACCGUUCAUGUGAUGUGAAAAUGCAUGGUAUAUGUGUUAGCAUAUUUCAAUUUCUUAUCCAUUUAUAUGCAGUGCUCACACAGUUUAUGUGCAACGCAUAUACCGGUCAAAUGCAGAGGCAUUCUGCAAAAAUCUAUAUGCAUAACUUAUAGCAUCUAUCAUGAUAUUUAUUUCA